GACAGAGGGUGCAAACGUUGCUCGGAAUUACUGGGCGUAAAGCGCGUGUAGGCGGCUCUUUAAGUCGACUGUGAAAUCCCUCGGCUCAACCGAGGAAGUGCAGCCGAUACUGGAGAGCUCGAGUUCUAGAGAGGGUGGCGGAAUGCGCAGUGUAGAGGUGAAAUUCGUAGAUAUUGCGUAGAACACCGGUGGCGAAGGCGGCCACCUGGAAAGCGACUGACGCUGAGACGCGAAAGCGUGGGGAUCAAACAGG
rnacentral:rRNA from 1 species